AGAGACCCCAAGCGUUAUCCGGAUUUAUUGGGCGUAAAGCGUGUGUAGGCGGCGAUGAUAGUCAGAUGUUAAAUUUCAGCGCUCAACGUUGAAGCUGCAUCUGAAACGUCAUCACUAGAGACAAGUAGAGGUUCAUGGAACAUAUGGUGUAGCAGUGAAAUGCGUUGAUAUCAUAUGGAACGCCAAAGGCGAAGGCAGUGAACUGGGCUUUGUCUGACGCUGAGACACGAAAGCGUGGGUAGCGAACGGGAUUAGAUACCCCGGUAGUCCACGCCGUAAACGUUGCCUACUAGGUCUGGGGAGUAUCGACCCUCUCCGGACCGAAGCUAACGCGUUAAGUAGGCCGCCUGGGAAGUACGAGCGCAAGCUUA
rnacentral:rRNA from 1 species